GGGAAUUAUCUCACCACCUACGUACGGGAGCCCGAACAAAAGGCUCUGGCCAUUUUAUGGACCCAGGGGUGGGGAUGGGGGUGAGCUGGAGAGGGGAGGACUAGGUGUGGGAAACAGUGAAUAUUGAGUCAGAGAGAAAAAAGAGGCUUCAAGUGUCCUCCCCAGUGAGGAGGCCUCCGCAGAAUGACCCGAUGAAGAGACCUCCUCUCUCUGAAUGCAGGGAGGGCUAGAGAUGCAGAUAUGCAUAAGCGCAUGGUGCUGAGGAUGGAGUGACUGAGCCCUUGACUGCAGCUCCCUUCAGAGACUGCAGUUUACUGGCUGCACACAGUCUGGUGUGGGGAGGACAAUUUUUCCCUGUGAAGCCUGCCAGGUGCUGAGAUGUCUAUGCAGGCAAGUCUGAGGUUAGCCUCCCAGAGUUUCGGGGAAAAGCACACAGGCAUUCCUGAACACUCUGAGAGGUGCAGAAAAGUGGCUGAGCAGACAGACACAAGGUCUGGCAUGGAGGCAGAGGAUCACAGCGGAGCAUGGACCUAACAGCUGGAUGCCGUGUGGUGAUAUCACUAUCAGCAGAAGAUGCAACAAGACCGGGGCCACUGCUCAAGGCCAGAGAAACAGGUUUGUAGGGGCCAGUGGGUCAGCGGUGACCAUAGAAGACAGUCUUCUCUACUUUGAUAGCAAAACAAUGCGUAAGGCACCUGAGGAACUCAGAUUACAACCAGGGAGAAGAAAAUCAGAGGUACAAGGUGGGAUGCAUCCUGAAUUGGUAGAGGAGAUACCCCAGAGUGUUCUACCAGAGUUGACAGAAUUACCUUGAAUAAAUAAGAAGAAGGUAUUUUAUUACCAACAGUCUCAUGGGCUAAGUUUAAGUACAGAGGAAUAAAGUUAUAUCUUUACACACUUGGGUGUGUGACAAUGUAAAAUGUCAACAUUAUACUUCCCAAUGGACUAUGCCAUGCAGAAGGCAGAAAGAAGUCAAAAGCCUGUUCUUUUUUUUCCCAUUCCAUAGUAAAUAGCAGAAAUUAUUCCCUUUGUUAAUCUAAGCAUACACCAGUCUGUAGGUUCAUAAUGAGAAAUAACUUUUUGUUCUUUGAUUUUUUUAAACAAAAUAUAGAAUUUAUAAGACAAACCCUUUUUGGUUUGUGUUUUAUUCCACCUUCUUUUAGCUAGAUUUGAAUGAAAGCAAAAUAAAGCUAUGUAUUGAAUAAAUAUGUUAACUCCACAGUAUUUUUGAAUAUAUAUUUUUCAUGGUAUAGUUCCAACUUUCAUUGGUGAUAUUGAUAUGAAAGUCAGAUUUACUGAGAGGUAAUGUUCAGCCUUGGAAGCAUCACCAAAAUGUGUAUAUAAGGCCUUUGUCCACUAAUGAGUGUCCUUUUAUGUGACUGGUUUUGUAAAGCCUUACACUGUGAAUGGACCGUCAAUCAACUCGCAGCUGCACUGAGGCCUUCGGAUGGCUGUAUCCAUGGCAACGUGCCAAAAAUGGCGGCGCAAAUUAAUCCAUUUGUGUGAAAUUCUCAGUGAGAGUCCACUUUCAUCUUUCAGAAACUACUGUUAGGAAGUCUGAUGAUAAUGUAAAAUACUAAGCAAAAGCAAAAUAGUGAUGGACUAUCCACAGGAUCUUCUCCCUGUAAACAGUGGGACUUCUUUUCCUUUUUAUCUGCUAGAGAUGACAGAGCAGAGUUGGGGAUGUAAUAUUACCACCAUAAUGUUCUUUUUACAAAAAAAGUUACAUUAAUUUAAUGUUCACAUAUAGGCUUCUUUUUCACCUUCUCUCACAAUGCUAUCUAAUCAGCCUGGAAAAUAAGUACAAUGAUUUACACAGUGGUA
rnacentral:lncRNA from 1 species